rnacentral:rRNA from 1 species
GAUGAACGCUGACAGAAUGCUUAACACAUGCAAGUCAACUUGAAUUUGGGUUUUUACCUUAGGUUUGGGUGGCGGACGGGUGAGUAACGCGUAGAGAACUUGCCUCACAGCUAGGGACAACAUUUGGAAACGAAUGCUAAUACCUAAUAUUAUGAUAAUAGGGCAUCCUAUAAUUAUGAAAGCUAUAAGCGCUGUGAGAGAGCUUUGCGUCCCAUUAGCUAGUUGGAGAGGUAACGGCUCACCAAGGCGAUGAUGGGUAGCCGGCCUGAGAGGGUGAUCGGCCACAAGGGGACUGAGACACGGCCCUUACUCCUACGGGAGGCAGCAGUGGGGAAUAUUGGACAAUGGACCGAGAGUCUGAUCCAGCAAUUCUGUGUGCACGAUGAAGUUUUUCGGAAUGUAAAGUGCUUUCAGUUGGGAAGAAACAAAUGACGGUACCAACAGAAGAAGUGACGGCUAAAUACGUG